rnacentral:rRNA from 1 species
UCCGAAGUCAAGCAUCAUUGGGCGCGGUCAGUACUUGGGUGGGUGACCACCUGGGAACA